UAGCAUCAUUCUGUGGGACUAGGUUACA
rnacentral:piRNA from 1 species